AGUGAACGCUGGCGGUAGGCCUAACACAUGCAAGUCGAACGGCAGCACAGUAAGAGCUUGCUCUUACGGGUGGCGAGAGGCGGACGGGUGAGGAAUACAUCGGAAUCUACUUUUUCGUGGGGGAUAACGUAGGGAAACUUACGCUAAUACCGCAUACGACCUACGGGUGAAAGCAGGGGAUCUUCGGACCUUGCGCGAUUGAAUGAGCCGAUGUCGGAUUAGCUAGUUGGCGGGGUAAAGGCCCACCAAGGCGACGAUCCGUAGCUGGUCUGAGAGGAUGAUCAGCCACACUGGAACUGAGACACGGUCCAGACUCCUACGGGAGGCAGCAGUGGGGAAUAUUGGACAAUGGGCGCAAGCCUGAUCCAGCCAUACCGCGUGGGUGAAGAAGGCCUUCGGGUUGUAAAGCCCUUUUGUUGGGAAAGAAAAGCAGCAGGUUAAUACCCCGCUGUUCUGACGGUACCCAAAGAAUAAGCACCGGCUAACUUC
rnacentral:rRNA from 1 species